rnacentral:lncRNA from 1 species
CAGCCAAUUUAAACCAUUUUUUUUGUUUUUUAAUAGAGAUGGAGUGUUUUUAUUGACCUGCUGAUAUCAAAUCAUCCUUGCAUCCAGGGGUUGCAUGGUCACUUGAUCAUGGUGAAUGAUCUUUUUAUUGGGCUGCUGGAUUUGGCUUGCUAAUGUUUUAUUGAGUAUUUUGCAUCUGUCUUCAUCAGGGAGAUUGGCUGAGAGCUUUGGUUGUUGUGUCUUUGUCUGGUUUUGGUAUCAGGGUAAUCUUGGCCUCAUAGAAUGAGUUUGGAAGAAUUCCUUCCUCUUCCAUUUUCUGGAAGAGGUUGAGAAGAAUUAGUAUCGGUUCUUCUUUACAGGUUUGGUAGAAUUCUGCUGUUAAGCCAUUGGGUCCUGGGCCUUUCU